AUUAAAAAAUGCGUACUUGCAAUUUAAAAAUCCGUACGCGCCUUUUUUAAAAUUUUAUUAUUUGAAUUUAUUUAUUUAUUUAAAAUUAAUAAAUUGUCUCAGCUGCAAAGUACAUUAGCACUCAUAUUUUACCAACAACAAACUGACUUGACAAUUGAGUUUACGUCACAAGUAUUUAUUUACAGUAUUAGAUAGUUUGUAAACAUGUUUAUUUAUAAAUUUUUAAUAAUAAUAUCAUUAACAUUAAAUACUAUCGUUAAUACUGAGGAAGAAUUUUGUUCUAUAGACAAAAAGUCAUGUUCUGAAGAUAAAAAACUUGAAGAAUUGAUAGAUUUAAAUAACGACUAUAAAGAUUAUUAUGCAGCAAUAACACAAGCCGAGGAUGAUUAUCAAGAAUGUAAAGCUAAAAAAUGCGGUUGUUUUACUGACGUUAUCGAGCAAGAUCUAAAAUCAUUUAAAUCAGAUCGUAUCAGCAAAAAAUUAAUUGAUUAUUCAUUAUCUAGAGCGACUAUUUAUCAGAUAAUUGAUGGAAAAUUAUAUAGAGCUAAAGACUGUAUGUUUCCAUCAAGAUGCGCUGGGAUAGAGCAUUUUAUUUAUAAAGUAAUUGAUAAUGUGACAGACACUGAGUUUUUGAUAAAUACCAGAGACUAUCCCCAAUCAAGUAGGCAUUUUGGAACAGCACUUCCAAUAUUUUCUUUCAGUAAAACUCCGGAUUACUAUGACAUCAUUUAUCCCGCCUGGUCCUUCUGGGAAGGAGGUCCUGCAAUCUCACUGUAUCCUCGUGGUCUAGGUCGAUGGGAUCAGCACAGGAAGUCUUUAGACAAAGCGAGUCAGGAAUAUCCUUGGGAGAGUAAAAAAUCUCAGGGAUUUUUUCGUGGCUCGCGAACAAGUUCUGAGCGUGACAAUUUAGUUUUGUUGAGUCGGGAUCAUCCGGAACUGGUUGAUGCUCAGUAUACUAAGAAUCAAGCUUGGAAAUCUGAUGAAGAUACACUUCAUAGACCACCAGCACCAGAAGUCUCGCUAGAAGAUCAUUGUAAAUUCAAAUAUUUAUUUAAUUAUCGCGGUGUCGCGGCAUCAUUCAGACACAAGCAUUUAUUUUUAUGUAACUCAUUGGUCUUCCAUGUGGGCGACGAGUGGACUGAAUUUUACUACUCGGCAAUGAAACCCUGGAUCCAUUAUAUUCCAGUACCCAAAGAUGCGAGUAAACGAGAACUAGAACGACUAAUUAAAUUUGCACGAGACAAUGAUGGAAUAUCACGUAAAAUAGCACAGCGUGGUCGUGAUUUUAUCUGGAAAAAAUUACGGAUGUCAACAAUCGACUGUUAUUGGAAAAAAUUAUUGCAAAAAUACACGAAACUUCUGACUUACAAACCAGUAAAGAGAGACAACAUGCAGCCAAUCAGUCGGAGAUGAUAAUAAUCGUCAUUUGACCUUAAAAUAUAUAUUAUAUAUGUACCCGGGAACUAAUAACCAGCGAUUUUUCGGUUCACUGACCGGUUGGUUAAAUUCCGUGAUUCGCAGGCCAAUUGAAUGAUCAAUAUUCGUAAUGUGGCCGUUAAAUUAUUUCUGUAUACCAAAUAAAAUUGUCUUGACUCUUUAAUUUAAUAUAAUUUUUUUUUCUUUAUGAUUCGGAGGAUCGGGAUAAAGGAUUUAAAAAUAAAUCGAGCAUUCAUAAAAUUAUUACUUAUGAUUAAGUGCUCCAUAAUAAGUGCUCGUGCAAACAAUAAGAAAUAAAAUCUAAAUAAACACGUGCAGAAAAAAAAACACGUGCAUGAGUGGAGAUAAUUAUAAAUAAAUCGUGCGGUAAAUAAUAUUCUACCAUCGUAAAGUGAAAGGAAUUUAAAAAGAAUUGUCUGUACAAUGGGUAAUUUAUGUUAGAAAGGGCGAGUGGUUUUUAAAUAAAUAAAAAAAGGUAUAGGUACAGGUAAAGGUAUAGAUUAAUCAAGUUCCAAAUCAACGCAACCGUAAAACCGCAUUGAUUUUAAAUAAAUAAUUAAAUUUAAACCAUGCACCUCAAACAGUGGGUGUUUUAUAUUUUCAUUGUGUGUAUAAUUUUUUUUAACCGUUGGAAUGACGACUCCGUGCGAUAUUUUACCUCUGUUAUGUGUUUUUAAUUAAAAACAUUUUUUUCAUUUUAUUUUUUAAAGACAAAUUAGUAAAUAAUUUUUCUUUUUAUUUUUUAAAAGCGAUUAUGAAAUGAGAUGUUGUUAAUUAAUUAGUUAAGUUGAGUAAUUGUAAUUAGUAAUGCAACAAAUAAUUAUUUAAAUGGAAACACAAAUUAAUAUCCCAAGCGGUCGUAUGCGAUUAAGUUUUAAAAUAAAAUAAUUAGUAUAAAGAAUUAAGGAAUAAAUAUUUUAAAAUAUCUUAUGUUUAAAUAUUUACUCUGGUAAACUGCAGACCUGGCGUUUUCAUUGGCGAUUUAAAUAUUUUUACUAACAUUAGAUUAAUUUUAUUUAUUUCAAAUAUUUAUCACCUGGCUGAUGUGGCGGGCUGACUAAUAAAUUAUUCAAAUAUUUAAAAGAAGCUAAAAUUAUUUUGAAAAAUAUAUAUAAUCUAUAAAUAAUAAAUAUAUAUAUAGUUGUUAGUAUUUGUAAAAAUACACGAUAAUUUAAACUGCAAUUAUAUAAAUUAAUAGUUAGUACCUCCACCUGACUCGACACAUCUCAAUCGCUUCGAGUUAAUUUUUUUUUUUAUCUUUUUGCAGAAUAAUAAAUGUCAGUUAUCAUUUUUUGUCGCGUAUGUUUUUUUUUAAAUUUUUUUCUCAAUAAUGGAAGUAAAAAAUGUGAGAUCAAAGAGUGACAUCGGUAGAUAUGACCGGAAGUUGUAGAACUGAUUGAAUUCACAGGAUGAGACAGUUAUAAACUCAACAGAACACGUGUAAUAAUUUUUUUAUUCUAUUUUUAUAAUAAAAGCAUUAAUGUUGCGUCACAUCCCGUAAUAUUAACGUGUGCUAAUCUGUGUUAUAAAAUACGGUUAUAAACUUAGACAAUAAAUUUAUUAUAACUUAAGUUUUUAUAGACUCGAAGCUUAUGAGAGCUUAAGCUAAUUAUGUAUAUAAAUAUAAACAUAUAUUUAUAUGUAAGCCCCAAACACUAGCCAGGUUUUUUUGAAUAAAAAAAAAAAAGCAUAUUUUGCUUAGCAGAAAAUUAUACUGGACUUGAUUUCCAAUAAAGUCAAGUACCUGCAUCAAAAAUAAUGUCACCGAUAUCAUCACCCUCAUGAUUACUGUCAUCGCCAAGGAAACCGCCGGCGUUAGUGUCCAAGUUUCCAGACUCCGUAUCAUUUAUUGAGUAAUUAUUUUUCCAUGCGAUAUUACCUAGUGUCCCUCGACUCGCAGAUUUACAUCCGAACCACCAGAACGCUGUUGCUCUCGGGAACGCUGGUUCAGCCACAUCGACCUGCGACAAAAACAAACGAUUAAAGUCUCAGACCGUUGGUACAAAUAGACAUUUAAAAAUUAACGAUAACUUACGGAGAAUGUCCGGUCGUUAAACCGAUAGUACGCAUUGUCUUUGAAGAAAUACGUGUACCCGUGAUAAGUUAAGGCUGCGUCGACAUUAUUGGGUACUCCUUCCCAAUUAGAAAUUAAUUUCGGAUAUGUACUUUUAACUGGGGGUCGUUGAGCGGGAUCGAAUCUCCAGAAUUUAGUUCCUUUGUAAAAGUAAAUUUUUCCGUUGCCCGUCCAUACGGUCACUGCGUCAAUAUUGUCGGGUAUUCCGGUGAAUCCUUCGCUGAUGUCCUUCGGGUAGUCGCCGUCAAUUCUCUUCCCUACGUACCUCCAGUACUUAGAUCCCUACAAGCGAUUUUUAAGAAGAUAAAUAUCAUAGGCUGUAAUUAUAAAGAACUAGACCGAUGGAGAGAUGGUUAGUUUUUUUUUAUUACCUUGAAGAAAUAUGUUUUGCCGUUCUUGUACGUAAAAGCGGCAUCGAUUUUCCCUGGCAAUCCUUUCCAGGAACUACUUAUCAGUCUAGGAUACCCGCUGGCCACACCGUCGUCCGUUAACAUCCAGUAGUAAUCGCCUGUAAA